rnacentral:rRNA from 1 species
GUUGACCUCGGAUCAGGUAGGAAUACCCGCUGAACUUAAGCAUAUCAAUAAGCGGAGGAAAAGAAACCAACAGGGAUUGCCCUAGUAACGGCGAGUGAAGCGGCAACAGCUCAAAUUUGAAAUCUGGCCCUCGGGUCCGAGUUGUAAUUUGUAGAGGAUGCUUUGGGUGCGGUGCCUUCCGAGUUCCUUGGAACAGGACGCCUUAGAGGGUGAGAGCCCCGUACGGUUGGACACCAAGCCCGUGUAAAGCUCCUUCGACGAGUCGAGUAGUUUGGGAAUGCUGCUCUAAAUGGGAGGUAAAUUUCUUCUAAAGCUAAAUACCGGCCAGAGACCGAUAGCGCACAAGUAGAGUGAUCGAAAGAUGAAAAGUACUUUGAAAAGAGGGUUAAAUAGCACGUGAAAUUGUUGAAAGGGAAGCGUUUAUGACCAGACCUUUGUCCGGCGGAUCAUCCGGUGUUCUUCACCGGUGCACUUCGCCGGGCUCAGGCCAGCAUCGAUUUCCGUAGGGGGAUAAAGGCCAUGGGAACGUAGCUCUCUUCGGGGAGUGUUAUAGCCCUAGGUGUAAUACCCUUAUGGGGAUCGAGGUUCGCGCUUCUGCAAGGAUGCUGGCGUAAUGGUCAUCAAUGACCCGUCUUGAAACACGGACCAAGGAGUCGAACAUUUAUGCGAGUGUUUGGGUGUUAAACCCUCACGCGUAAUGAAAGUGAACGGAGGUGAGAGCCCUUUAGGGUGCAUCAUCGACCGAUCCUGAUGUCUUCGGAUGGAUUUGAGUAAGAGCAUAACUGUUCGGACCCGAAAGAUGGUGAACUAUGCGUGGAUAGGGUGAAGCCAGAGGAAACUCUGGUGGAGGCUCGCAGCGGUUCUGACGUGCAAAUCGAUCGUCAAAUCUGCGCAUGGGGGCGAAAGACU